rnacentral:tmRNA from 1 species
GGAAGAGCCUAUAUGGAGGGUGUCGGGAAACCGACUAUGGCGAUAAACGCCGCGUGAAAUAAGCGUUUCGGACCCGGGGGCAGUACCCGGCGCCUCCACCAUUUCUCUCCGCCCUCGGGCGGAACCGAUGGGGGCGAACCAGGAUCGACGAGCGUGGUAAAGGCGCGGUUUUUGCCCGGUAUGGUUCCGCCGUGACGGGCCAUUCACAAGUGCUAACGAUAACACCGUUACACUCGCUGCUGCCGCCUAAACAGCGGACGUAAGCGCGGUCCGGGGGGCACCGGGCAACAGAAGCCCCCCAC